AACUGCUAGGCUGAGUGACGGAGAGGGAGCUAGAAUUCCUGGUGUACGGGUGGAAUCUGUAGAGAUCAGGAAGAAUACCAAUGGCGAAGGCAAGCUCCUGGCCGAUGACUGACGCUGAGGUGCGAAAGUGUGGGGAUCAAACAGGAUUAGAUACCCUGGUAGUCCACACUGUAAACGAUGUGCACUAGGUGCUGGUCGGAUGUAUCAGUGCCGUAGCUAACGUGAUAAGUGCACCGCCUGGGGAGUAUGCUCGCAAGGGUGAAACUCAAAGGAAUUGACGGGGGCCCGCACAAGCGGUGGAGCAUGUGGUUUAAUUCGAUGGUCGCGAGGAACCUUACCUUGGGUUUGACAUACAAGCGUAAUAGGGCAGAGAUGCUCUAUCGUAUCAAUACGCGCUGUACAGUGCUGCAUGGUGUUNNANCUNCUNCCCUGANGNGUUGGNUUUANUUNCCCAANNAGCGCAANCCCUNCUUUCAGUUNUUANAAGGNGAAGGUUGNGG
rnacentral:rRNA from 1 species